rnacentral:lncRNA from 1 species
UGGUGGGCUGAGUUGAAAUUAUUCUAACCCACUGAAAAGAGUUUCAAUGAUAUUGUGAUAGAGAUCACAAUAUAUCUUACUACCAGACAGAAUAGAACCUAUGGGGUUACACACAAAAGAGACUUUUGAUUGAUCAGAUGGUUGAAUUAUGAUUAGAGAUUGUAACAGGAUUUGAUUAUCAAUUUGAUUGAUAAUUGAUCCAAUGCAAAUAUUGCAUUACGUAACUUACUAAGGAG